ensembl:lncRNA
AUGCCUACUACUUGUCAGGCACUAAAUACUAACUCAUUUCAUUCUUACGACAGCCCUGCUUCACAUAUGAGAAAGCUGGGACACAGAAAGCAACUUGCCCAUUGUCCUCCAGUUAGCAGUGGCGGAGCCAGGGUGCAAAUCCAGACUGCACCUGCCCGGAGCCCACGUACUCAAUACCACCCUGCCUUCUGGACAGUCAGGACAAGCAGUUGUGCCUCUGCUACCAUUACUGUGCCAACAAAAGAGAAUUCAUAUCCUCAGCAAGCUAGCACUAAAGGGGACGGCAGAAGUCAUAUUGUCCAUCUUCUUUCUGGAACAGGGAAGAAAUUUGAGACUCAAGAAAGUCAAAGCCCCGGGAAGGAAGCUUUACCUGCUCCUCAGACUCACCCAUCUUCACUGUGACUGAUGGGGACGCAGUGAGACCCGUGAGCCUCCUUGCAGGAUGCAGCCACUCAAGGCCAAUCACGAAGAUUGUUCUCCCUAAG